rnacentral:tRNA from 1 species
GCCUGGGUGGCUCAAUCGGUUGAGCGUCUGACUUCGGCUCAGGUCAUGAUCUCGCAGUCUGUGAGUUCGAGCCCCGUGUCGGGCU